AAAUAUUUCGGGGUGGCUGGAGAACCAGAGGUCCAGGGGGGAAUCUGGAAGACCACAUCCGACCCAGAGUGCACCCAUCCCGGAUACACCAGCCAGCUUGCCUGGGGUGGACCUCCAGGACCUCCAGGACCAGGCCCACCAGCCGGACCUGCGUACCCACUCUUAAGCACACCUCCUGGGUUAAAGCCCCUAGUCCGCACCGCCAGGAGGUUCGUGCCCCUGGUACUCCAUUUUCAAGUUCGUACCCCUGGUACUCCAUUUCCACACUUAGAAAUAUUUCGGGGCAGCUGGAGAACCAGAGGUCUAGGGGGGAAUCUGGAAGACCACAUCCGACCCAGAGUGCACCCAUCCCGGAUACACCAGCCAGCCUGCCCGGGGUGGACCUCCAGGACCUCCAGGACCAGGCCCACCAGCCGGACAUGUGUACCCACACUUAAGCACCCCCCCGGGACUACACCCCUAGUCCGCACCGCCUGGAGGUUCGUGCCCCUGGUACUCCAUUUUCAAGUUCGUACCCCUGGUACUCCAUUUCCACACUUAGAAAUAUUUCGGGGCAGCUGGAGAACCAGAGGUCUAGGGGGGAAUCUGGAAGACCACAUCCGACCCAGAGUGCACCCAUCCCGGAUACACCAGCCAGCCUGCCCGGGGUGGACCUCCAGGACCUCCAGGACCAGGCCCACCAGCCGGACAUGUGUACCCACACUUAAGCACCCCCCCCGGGACUACACCCCUAGUCCGCACCGCCUGGAGGUUCGUGCCCCUGGUACUCCAUUUUCAAGUUCAUACCCCUGGUACUCCAUUUUCACACUUGGUGGGUUUUUGAAGCUGGAUCUCCACUACCAACACAGUGGAGGAAGAAGGCUACCCCAAAGGGGAAGGGGGUCAGCCCCAUCCCCACCAUCACUCCAGUGGUGGACAGGAGGACGGCGGAGGAGGAGGGGGGGAAAACAGCCGUCCUCCAACGCACCAGAUGCUCCAGUUUCACCCAAGAGGCAUCCUUUCCCCAAAAAAGAAGCCCGUCGCUGGGGAUCCAGCUUCGGGCUCCCCGGGGUGGGGAUCCACCCCGGGGUUCCCCCACCAGUCCCAUGCCCCAUGCUCAUGCCCCAGACCCCUCACUUCCCUGCGGGGAAUUUGGAAGCCCAACCCUUCCUUUGCAGCCCCACCCAGACCCCUGCCCCUGGUAUUCGCCCCCCCCACCUUUGA
rnacentral:lncRNA from 1 species